UAGUAAGUAGUAAGCAUCGUGUGCAGAUACAACUGUGUGCUUGCUAAUUAACGGUACUGAGUGCCAUAUAUGACCCCAGUCCUUCCUCACUGGACAGCUUUGCAAAGCCAUGGCUGAGCCAAAACAAGACAGUACAGGGAAUAGAGCUUUGUCAUAUUUCACAUUGCAUGCGUUGUUUUAAUACGAAAAUUGAUUACUUCCUCGUAUUGGGACUGUCUAGCUGUGAUUCAGGUGGGCUGUUUUGAAAGCCUACAAAUUCUUGGUUGCUGUUGGAAGAAGAGAUUAUUUCUGUAGUUGUGAUUCUGAGCAAUGUAUCUGUUUUCCUUGAUAUUCACUCGUCAAUGGAACCAAAUGGACAAAUACACCGUAAAUGUUGUAAGGAAAGUGAACACUUACAUGAGAGAUGAACUGCUCACGAAAUCUCGGCCGAAAGGUAUUCAUGUUCAUAUUCUGAAUAAGUCGGCCAUUAGCAGGAAGAUGAAAAAAAAAUCCUAAUACAGAUUCCCAUUCAUCAGAGAGAGCUAUAAGUUAGGAAUGUGGACUCUGAAGCAAGAAUCCUGGGCUCGAAUUUUGGUUUCACUUGCUUACUUUUGAGCAACUAACUCUAUCUCCCUCGGUCUCCAUGUUCUCUUGAGCAAAAUGGGGCUUGUAAUAGAAACUACUCGUUGAGUUGUGGAAAGGAUACAAAUAACUGAGGCGUAUAUUUAGAGUUAGUGCCUGACACACAACUGGGUACCUGAUAAAUAUUAGCCAUUCUAACUGAGAACUGAAACAGUCUUCUUUAGCUGCUGUGUCUUAAUCUAGGAAAGCUGAAUGAUACAGACAGGUCGGAAGUCUUCUGGAGAUGGGAAGGAGGGGUCCGUAAUACCUAAUUAACACUGUUACGUAAGUAUUUGCUGCCUCUCACUGCCAAGGCUAACUGCCAUGAGUCAGCUCUGAAGAGUCUUAUGUUAAUCUCUGUUCUUUUCAUUUUGUCUAGGCUUCUCACAAAUGCACGGGCAAAAAUGACUCUCUUACUGCCUGCCAAUUUUCAUCGUAAAGUGAACUGACCACCCACCUACACCUUUGGGUCUUGAGUUCUCGACAGCUCUGUUUAUUCGUGUCAAGGUUUCUCUGAUUCGGAGCCAUUUUGGAACUUGGAGGGCUCUGCAAAGCUGGUUUCCAUUCCUUUAAAACUCUAUUUUGAGUCUCCCUCAAUAUAUAAGCAUAUUUGUAACUGGUUUUCAAAAUUAAAUGAAAACAUGAUCUUAAAUCUGUUUCCAUGUUAGCUGAUAACUCAACAUAAUGUAUGCAUACAAAGUAUUUACCGGAAACACAGCUUCAUCGCUAAACGUUUGAUGUGGGUAAUUUGUGGAUUCUGAAAUACACUGUUGGAAAGCAGUCACAAAGCAUAGCAUCAGGGUGACUCAAAAUGAAAAAUUGCCAUUAGAAUUGAAAAUGACAACACAAAUUUGAUCUAAAACAAAAAUGAAAGCUUGUUUUCUCAACAGAAAGUUGCUUGAAGAAAUAAAUCACUGCCCUAAAUAGCUCUUCAAAAUAAUAAAUUAUGCCUUGACAUGCGUGUCAUUUCAAUUAAAACAAGCAUGGAAAAGGCCCGUAUACUUUCUCUAGGAAUGGGCUGUUUUAUUCUAGCUAGAUGGCAGUAGAUAACAAUCUGAUUGAGAGCAUCAGAGGGUUAUGUAUACUUAUGGAUAGACUCAACUUUAAUCCGUGUUUAAUCCACUUGUCAUAAACCAGGUCCUGAAAUGACCACAUGCAACCAAGACAAAGCAUCUCUCAUCGGAGGACAGGAGUCGCUCCGGAUGGAUGCCGGCUGAGAAUCCUUCUCCCUGCUGCUGUUUUCCUGGGACAGAAAAUGAAAACUGAAUGAAUUGAACAAUAGGAUUUGUUUUGACUACGGAUAUUUUCAUGUACGCUGUGACUAAUAGCCUAAUUAUUUUCCUUUUUUCUCGU